rnacentral:rRNA from 1 species
AGAGUUUGAUCCUGGCUCAGGAUGAACGCUAGCGGGAGGCUUAACACAUGCAAGUCGAGGGGCAUCACGGGGUAGCAAUACUCUGGUGGCGACCGGCGCACGGGUGAGUAACACGUAUGCAACCUGCCUCGUACAGGGGGAUAACCCGGAGAAAUUCGGACUAAUAUCCCAUAAUGAUAUUGAAAGGCAUCUUUUAAUAUUUAAAGCUCAGGCGGUACGGGAUGGGCAUGCGGAACAUUAGCUGGUUGGCAGGGUAACGGCCUACCAAGGCUACGAUGUUUAGGGGACCUGAGAGGGUUAUCCCCCACACUGGUACUGAGACACGGACCAGACUCCUACGGGAGGCAGCAGUGAGGAAUAUUGGUCAAUGGGCGCAAGCCUGAACCAGCCAUCCCGCGUGAAGGAAGAAGGCGCUAUGCGUUGUAAACUUCUUUUCCAGGGGGAGAAUUAUCCCGAUGUAUCGGGAUUUGACGGUACUCUGGGAAUAAGCAUCGGCUAACUCCGUGCCAGCAGCCGCGGUAAUACGGGGGAUGCGAGCGUUAUCCGGAUUUAUUGGGUUUAAAGGGUGCGUAGGCGGAUCAAUAAGUCAGUGGUGAAAUUCUGCAGCUUAACUGUAGACUUGCCAUUGAUACUGUUGGUCUUGAGUAUGGUCAAGGCAGGCGGAAUGUGUAAUGUAGCGGUGAAAUGCUUAGAUAUUACACAGAACACCGAUUGCGAAGGCAGCUUGCUGGGCCAAUACUGACGCUGAUGCACGAAAGCGUGGGGAUCGAACAGGAUUAGAUACCCUGGUAG